UUCCCCCUGGGAGAUGAAAGAGAAAGUAAAUUCAUCCGCUUACAACUGGACAAUGAUGUGUGUUAAUUAUUUGGACAAUGCAGUUCAAACAAUUAGUGAGGUUGUGGAUGUCACCAAAACCGGUGUGUGGAGAAAGUGAGGGUUGUCUAAGGUUCCAGUGGGAUCGAGACCAGUUGGGAAAGUGGGCCGAGGAAUUGCAGGUGGAUCUUAGCUGUCACUCAGAAACAGUUCUUCAGGGGGUCAAAGACGACUGAGACACGAAAGAGAGCUUUUCUUGGGCUCUGGAUUCAAACAGACAAGACUGGUGCACUCGUACCAAGGCAGAAUAUAAGUUGUUGCUCCGCCACCCUGAGGGUGCAGUCAUCAAUUAGGAGCAACUUCGCACCAUCCUCCACAAGUCUGACUUACCAGUCAGCACGCAUUUUAAUUCUUCAUUCCCAGUCCUGUUCCGCCGUGUCGAUCCAUGGACUCCUCUUGUGCCAAGAUGAGCUCCCAUCCCCCCACCCCAGGGUGGUGGAGCAACACAUUAUAUUCCGUCUGGGUACCCUCCAACCUGACGGCAUGAACAUCGAUUUCCCCUCCUGUGAAUAAAUUACCGUCACCCUCCUCUAUGCCCCACUCUGACCUUGUACUUCUCACCUUCCUACAUUCCUCCCGGGACCCUCCUCCUGCCCUCUCUCUGGUCCACUCUCCCCUCCUAUCAGAUUCUUUAUUCUCCAGCCCACCCGUUCUUGACCUUCCCCACCCACCCGGCAUCAAAUUCCAGCUCGCCUCUUCCCCUCCCCCACCAUAUUUCUAUUCUGGCACCUUCCCCUGUGCUUCUCUGCCCUGCAGAAGGCUUUCUGCCAAAAAACGCCGUCUGUUCAUAAUUUUCUAUAGAUGCUGCCUGAGGUGCUGAGUUCCUGCAGCGUUUUGUGUGAGUCGCCUUGAAUUUCCAGCAUUUGCAGACUUUCUCCUGUUAGUUCCAGAAAUCGCCGUCCGUGACCAGACGAUCACAUGCGCAUGCGUAAGGUCGCGAACGUAUGGACCGACCAUUUGUCUGAAAGUUAAAUGUUUAAACAGCCUGAAAACAGCACGGCAUCAACAAAACACCAGCUGUGCAGCAGCAAAGGCUGUCUGUGUGGGAACAUUUCAGUUACUGCGCAGCUCGGAAUAAUAUGGGACAGAGAAUAAUACUAAUGGAAGGAAUCAGACUGAGCUAAGUCACAGAUUGAAAUUCCCAUUCUCACACAGACAGGAAAUCUGUUGGGGAAUUAGAUGGACAGACCAGUUGCCGGCGUCAUGAGCAGUUAGAAGGUUAGAAAUGACAAAAAUUGUGUACGGGAAUUUUAAACAGAACAACAUGUCAGUUUGCUGUCUCUGCCCAGAUAUUUAAGGAGUUACUAGAUAUUUAACAAUGUAUCACUGUUGAUCCUUGGAGAUGAAGAAUUUUGUCAUCACAGCUGGAAAAGUGCUUUGUGUCUGAAAUUAAGUUUUCUGUUGUAACUCACUGAAAUCCACUGGAACCGGGGAACUGAGAACACACCAGCAUUUGUUCACUGGAGAUCAGUUCUUCAACUACUUUGAUUGUGCAAGGGGUUUACUACAUCUGAUAUUUGACUUAUGAAUUGACAAAGAACUGUGGGAAGGGAUUCACUCUUCACUCACUCAUCUCACCUGCAUGCACAACAGCGAGUUCACACUGAUAAGAUGUCUUUCACCUGCGCUGAUUGUGGGAAGGGAUUCACUCGGUCAUCCUGCCUACAGACACACCAGCGAGUUCACACUGGUGAGAAGCCAUUCACCUGCUCAGACUGUGGGAAGGGAUUCACUCAGUCAUCGCAACUGCGGAGACACCAGUCACUUCACACUGGGGAGAAGCCAUUCGCCUGCUCAGACUGUGGGAAGGGAUUCACUUGGUCAUCUGAACUGAAGAUACAUCAGCGAACUCACACUGGAGAGAGGCCAUUCACCUGUUCAGACUGUGGGAAAGGGUUUAUUCGGUCAUCUCAACUGAAGGUACAUCAGCGAACUCACACUGGGGAGAGACCGUUCACCUGCUCAGUCUGUGGGAAAGGAUUCACUCAGUCUUCUGUACUGAAGGAACAUCAGCGAAUUCACACCGCAGAGAGGCCAUUCACCUGCUCAGACUGUGGGAAAGGAUUCACUCAUUCAUCUGUACUGAAGGUGCAUCAGAGAAUUCACACUGGGGAGAGGCCGUUCACCUGCUCAGACUGUGGGAAGAAAUUCACUGACUCAUCCAGGCUACAGGCUCACCAGCGAGUUCAUACUGGAGAGAGGCCGUUCACCUGUUCAGACUGUGGGAAGGCAUUUACUCGGUCAUCUCAAGUGAUGGUACAUCAGCGGAUUCACACUGGGGAGAGGCCAUUUUCCUGCUCUGAAUGUGGGAAGAGAUUUAUUCAUUUAUCUGACCUGCAGGUGCACCAGCGAGUCCACACUGGAGAGAGGCCGUUCACCUGCUCAGACUGUGGGAAGGCAUUUACUCGGUCAGUUGAACUGAAGACACAUCAGCGAAUUCACACUGGGGAGAGGCUGUUCAUCUGCUCAGACUGUGGGAAAGGGUUUAUUCGGUCAUAUCAACUGAAGGUGCAUCAACGAGUCCACACUGGGGAGAGACCAUUCACCUGCUCAGACUGUGGAAGGGGAUUUAUUCAGUCAUCUCGACUGAUGAUACAUCAGCGUAUUCACACUGGGGAGAGACCGUACGCCUGUUCUGAUUGUGGAAAGAGAUUCAGUCAGUCAUCCGACUUACAGACACACCGACGAGUCCACACUGGAGAGAGGCCAUUCUCCUGCUCCCAAUGUGGGAAGAGAUUCUCUCAGUCAUCCCACCUUGUGACGCACUACCGAGUUCACACUGGGGAAACUGUUUAAACAGGCGACAGGCUACAGGCUGGAUAUUUCACCAUCACAGUUACUGAAUCAAGUUCAAAAGUGACUGUUGGUGCCGAACUCGGCAAUUACUGCUGCUGUUUAACAAACCCAGUUCUGCACUCUGGUCACUGGGCAUGGGAGUUAUUCCUCAGCGAAUGUUCACGUUUAAUGGGACUGGAAUUUAAUGGUUUGGAUCUGUGACGCAGAAAUCAGUUCUAAUUUAAAUCCUGUCCACACCUACAGAAUCUCCUUUCUCUCCCCAGAAUAUCAUCUCUUAUAACUGCCACAAGGGCUAAAUUUACACUUCCCUGUUAAGCUUCAGAGUGGACAGUGCUGCCGGCCUUUCUGUUGCUUCCAUGCCCCAAUGGAUCAACUCCCCACCCACUGAGCAGUAUCCAACAAGGUGUUCUGCUGUGGAGAAUGCCCACAGGACAGCCCUGCACUGUCUUCCUAAUGACCCUUACCUCUGCUGGUGGUCACGCUUCUCCUGUCCGAAGCUUGUACUCUGGGUGUGGCCACCUCUUCAGAUGUUUCAUUGAUAGUAUCUUCAGGCUCCCGAAUGAUCCUGAGUACAUCCAACUCCCUGAACCAGUCUGUGAUUGGGUGCACUUCUUGCAAAUAGUCAUCGGCAAACUGUCGGAUGUCCAGAGUUCCCACAUCUGACUGGAGGAGCAUCCCAUCCUGACUGCUCUGCACCAAAAUACACCACUGUCUGAAUGAAUUAACAUACGCAAGAAAACAUCGAACGGGAAUGGGGCAAUGACAGUGGAAGUAGAGUGUUCAAUUACCUGUGUUUUUGCCAUGAGGUCGAAGGAAUAGAGGCUGCCAUUUUGUGAAGCUGUUCUGUCACCCCCAUUUUGUGCACUGAUUGCUGUGGGAUAACCUGAUCAGAUCAACUGAACACAAGAAGUUACUGGUAUUCCCAUUGUAAGCCUGAAAUCACUCUCACAUAAUCUGUGCAUUAUGUACACUGUCGGGUUUGCAGAAGUAAUCUCGUUAUCUCUGAACCUGAAGUCACUCUGAGAUAAGGUGUGUAUUACGUACAGUGGCAGUUCUGCAGAAGGAAUCUCGAUAUUUCUGCUGAGAGUCCGAGCGACACAGUUUGUCUGUUUGGAUCCAUUGUGGAGGAGAACAAAAUAAAUUACCUUUGACAUGAUGUUGUGUAGCCCUUGGACUACAUCCAAUGGAAAUCUGUUAGUCAUCAGCCUGAUGGACCUCAGCCAACAAGAAUGAGAUGCGUCCUCUGAACUGAUAAGAGUUGUGUCAAAUGUUUCAAAUCAUGCUUGUUUCAAAACAAGUAAAGAGUUUCAAAUGCAAAGGUGUGAUAACUCCGGAGACUAACUAUCACAAGGAAGAACCCCCAUGGAAGGGAUAGGAGAAGAAAUGAUCGAUCAUUUGGAUACAGUGGGAUCCCCUGUUUCAGUGUUGUGAAUUUGAGAAGUGGUCAGGGUGUUUAUUAAUACAGAGGCAGCAGUGGAAUUCAUGUUUCAGUUGUUAGCCUGGGGUUUUCAUUGUUACUUUGUUGUUUGUGCAGGAAAAUUAAAGAGAGAGCUGUAACAAUUACGAGUUUCCUGAUGAGGUUCCAAACUGAUCUCAGUUGAUGAACGGUGAACAUAUUUUCGCGCCCUGGGUGCACUCGAAAAGAAGGAAAAGUGGUCUGGGACCCUGGUGUCGAGUUGACCCACACAGUAGAUUAGGAUAUUAAACUGUGAAAGGGAAAGGACAGGAGGAAGAAACCAGGGAUUCAGAGGAUUUCAGAGAUUACUUUCAUCGUUAAUUAUUAAGGAAAUGGUCAAAUUAUGAGGCGUGGUUAGAAAAGUUUGACAGCCAAGGUUCCGGGACUGUGGAGGAAGAAUUGUGGAAAAUAGUUCGUGAAAAUAAGUUAAAGAAAUUACCAGGGAUUAAAAAUGUUGUAAUGUGAUGUUUGUUGGAUGAUCUAAUUGAAGUGAAGAGAGAAAAAACUGAAAUUGGCAGAGAAAUUGUGUAAGUGUAGGGAAGAGUUAGAAAUUGUGACGGAGCAGGAUCAGGUGAAUUUGAUCCACAUGAGUCAGUUUCAGGCUCAGUGUGAAAGCGUUAACAAGAGAAAAUGAGAAAACAGAAGAGGAGGAUAAACAGGCGGAUACAGAAUUAGAGAAAGGAAAAGUCAGGGUCGGGAUUUACGGCUGUUACGAAUGUCAUGAAGAAAUUGGCAGCUGAGAAGAAAGGCUGCGCUGAUCACAAGUGUUUAAAACAGAUGGAAAAUCUGCAAAGUGAACUCUCAGCUCGGAGAGGAGUGAUAUGUGCGAGGACGGACGAUGAUGGUGAUGCAGAUUGGGGUGAUUUAACGUAUGAAGAGACGCUUGUAUCACACACCGGUCACCAGUCACCUGAUGAGGUAAUCGUAGCCUUUGUCCGGGGUCAGAUAUGGUCAGGUCGUGUCCAAAUUUCAUAGAGUGUUUCAACCGUUAACCACUACUCUUUCCAGUUGGUGGAUCAGGAGUGAGGGUCAAGUCACUGCCCAACUGUUCCUGACUUCGAGCUCAACCCCUCUCUCCAGCUCCAUACCCAGUAAGGGGCUCUUUCUGCUCCCUCCCCCAUCCUGCCAGCUGCUUGCUUCUUGCUCUUUUCAUCAAGGCCCAGCACAGACAGCUACCUCCAUGCUGGCCGUGCCGGGAACCCACUACAGUCGAUCUCCAUGAGAAACAGCCACGUCUGCCAUCCUUUGUCCCUGCACUCCGGGACUAACAGUGUCAGAGCCAGGAUUAUUGGGGAAGUGGCCCGCCUCCCAGCAGGUUUUUCCGAGAGUGGGUGGAAGCUUCAACACCCAGUGCCCCAGUGGCGCCUGUAGUAAUGGAGGGACUGCAGGACACACCAGAGUCGGGGGUGUAGGGCGUUUGUGACACGUUAUUCUGUCCCCUUUGACGUGGCCCAAUUGAGUGCUUGAGCUGUGAAUGAGAGAUGAUUCUCGGAAAUUUUCCCGGUGCAUUCAGCAGAUAGGAUAACUCACGGUCUAUAUGAAACGGAGGAGGGGAAGCUAACCCUUCACUGUCUAACUUCAGCUUUCCCUUUAGCCCUGCCUGAGGAACAGGCACCCUCCCAGGGGACACGGGGUGAUUUUCAGAAGGCACCAUUAGAAGCUGCUGGACUAAUAGAGGUGACAGUGGAGGUUUUGCAUAACUGCAGACAGUGGAAAGGGAGGAACCUUCUUUAUUUGUUACGAGGUUGUGGCCGGUUUUCUCGAGUAUUUUGGGUCCUACUUUGGAUACGCAGAAUUUGACUCCGUGACAGAGUAGGAACUGGCCGAGGAACUUGGUAUCGCACAGUACCGAGGAGAGCAGAAGGGUGUGUGAAAUGAUUGCUCCAUUCAAACCCCACACAUGCUGAAGCAUGGGCUCUCAGAAGGAUGAUGCGAAUGAGGGAAAGGGAGUGAGGGAGAAAGGUACUGAGGAGGAUAAGGGGAAACAGGGUUCUAAAACGACCCUAUCACAGAACAAAGUUUGCAGUGGCAGAAUGAAGGGAGACGGGGGUGGGUGCGGCCGAUCAGUACAAACUCCACAACACCACCUAAUGGCUGGGUAGUCAACGACGUGGUUGGAAUAUCUAUGUUCCCCCCGUUGUGAAUACUGGAUCCACAAAGUAAUGAUGCAAUACUGGACACGAAGUUUAUUUUGGCAUUGAUUGCCCACAACCCAGGUGGGUUGGGACUUGUCAGCAUGUAACGAUGGCCUAUUGCCCCAAGAAGGUCAACUGUGUUACCUAUAAUAUAAUGCCCAUGGUGCUGAUGAUAAGCCACGACUUGAAUCCAGAGUUACCCAGGGGGUCUCCAAGAUACAUGUGCGUUCACCACAUGGUCGGAUGGUGCAGCUGGACCCCUUGUUGAAACUAAAGUAGGAAUCCGCCCCAUAAAAUUUCUUGCAGAUGAUACUAAGGUAGAUGGCGUUGUGGAAAGCUUGUUUCAAAGUUUACAGAAAGUUAGAAGAGUGGGCUGAACGAUGGCAGAUGGAGUUUAAUGCUGAUAAGUGUGAGGUCCUACAUUCUGGUAGGAAUAAUCCAAAUAGGACAUAAAUGAUAAAUGGCAGGACAUUGAGGAAUGCAGUAGAACCAAGGAAUAAUGGUGCAGAGUUCGCUGAAGGUGGAGUCUCAAGUGGAUAGGGUGGUGAAGAAAUCUUUUGGUAUGCUAGCCUUUAUAAAUCAGAGCAUUGAGUAAUGUUAAAAUUGUGCAAUGCAUUAGUAAGGCCGAAUUUGGAGUAUUGUGUACAGUUCUGCUCACCGAAUUAUAGGAAAGAUAUCAACAAAAUAGGCAGAGAACAGAGAAUAUUUACUAGAAUGUUACCUGGGUUUCGGCACCUAAUUUACACGGAAAGGUUGAACAAAUUACGUCUUUAUUCUUUGGAGCAUAAAGGUUUGAGUCGGGACUUGAUAGAGGUAUUUAAAAUUAUGAGGGGGAUAGAUAGAGUUGACGAGGAUAGGCUUUUUCCACUUAGAGUAGGGGAGAUUAAAACAAGAGAACAUGAUUUGAGAGUUAGGGGACAAAAGUUUAAGGGUAACACUAGGGGGUAUUUCUUUACUCAGAGAGUGGUAACUGUGUGGAAUGAGCUUCCAGUAGAAGUAGAAAUAGUAGUGUAUAUAUAUAUAAUAUAUAUAAUAUAUAUUCAUAAUGCGGGAGAGUCUCGAACCACCCUAAACAUGGCUACAUUCAAUGCAACACAUUGGGAAACAGAAGAUGCAGUUAUUAUGAAUGAAUUUACGUGACACUCACGUGUGGGAGUACCGUUGAUAUACAUUCAAAACUUGGAGAUUUUUUAAUGUAUUUAAUCUUGUAAUGUGCUCAAUAGACCCUACAUUAUCCCAGAUUGCUUUGCUGUAUGCUAACUAAGGACGUGGAAGGAGGCGUGUGACUUUGGCUUCGAAGGACAAAAAAUAAGAUGAUCAAAAACAGAAAAGAUUUUCAAGACUUUUGACAACUUGGUUAGAGUCCCCCAAACACAAACUAAUCCAAGAGUUCAUACUCUCGAGGAGAAUGAUAACAGUAGGUGAUGCAAUACAAUUUUACAGGCUACAAUGACAUAAUUUACUUCAGUAUUAUGUUUCUCAAAUGGCUCCAUUGAAGUACAUACUUAGAGUGGGAGAAUAUUGAAUUGAUAAGAAACCACUGAAGGUUCAGUCACCUUUGUUGGGACAAACUAAUUCACAUAAACAGUCCACACAUUGCACUCGUUCAUUAUUUAAUCGCAAUCUGUCACCACGGGGAUUGCAUCUGCCUGACGUAAUUGGUUUGUAAAUAAUUUUAAAACAGCUAUUUUUAAAUCUGUUAAAAUGUGUCCCUCUGGAGUCGCUAAAUGGUAUUAAAAACCGUAGGCUUGGGCUGCCUUUACAUUUCAUUCCAAGAGAUCGCCUGUAGCACAGUGGGGACAGAUCACUGGACAGAGAAAAUGCCUGCAUUGUUCAAUAGGUACAGAAGUGUGGAGAAAAUACUGUACGUGUUCAUCGCCGUCAUUGGAGUUCCUGGUAAGUGAGCAGAGCAAUUCUUGUUUGGUAUUUCUGUGUGUUAACCAUGUGAAUCUGUUUAUGAUCAUUUGACGAGCUUCUAACUUGAUGAUCAUUGUAGAAAUAUCCGUCAGAGAUAUUGAUCCUGUCAGUUCAACACUCUGAAUUUUCAUAUUUAAUGACAAGCGGAGCUAAACUCCUGUCUCUCAUCAAACUCACGUGAUCGACUCGAACGUUGUUCUUGCCUUCAAUGACACCUUGUCCGGAGUUGUCCCAGUGUGGGGACAGGCAGCUCUCCCGCAAGGUGUGACUGGAAUGGGUUUACAUUGUAAAGUUCACUGUUUCUGAGUUAUCGAUCAGAGAGAACCCCUGGUCCUGUGUUUCAUGUCUCCCUGUGGAGUCUGUCACAGUCGGAUCCCACUGCCUGUCGGUCAAUAAUUGGGUCUGAUCAUCUGAACCAGUGUCAACGGAUCUGCUGACGAGAGUUAUCGAAUUGAACUGCGCUGUGGAAUUAAUCCAUUAACGGAGCCGCUCAGCCUCAGGUUGCUCAGUUGUUCCUGCUUUCCCUCUGAGACGCGUCGUAAAUUUUCUCCAGGACAACUCUUCGUCCUGGAGAAAAGUCUCGGCCCAAUACCAAAGUUUGUUCAAUUCCAUGUACAGAAUGUUGCCUGACCUGCUGAGUCCCUCCAGUGUUUUGUGUGUGUUCCUCUCCUCUGCAUGCCUUAUCGGCCCCAUCAUUUACGAGUUUCCAGGGGCCAGGUCAGUCACGAUUAAAUCAGUGAAACCGGCCAGGUCAGGGACAGGAAUCGUGAUCAGCACCGACCUAUGUUGUUCAUGCAGAUCGCUUUUAUCGCCGACGAUUGUCCACAAUUGUCUUAUCUCCACACUGAAGAAGGCAGGUCAGAGACAGUGUGACCAGUGUCCCAUGUUAGGUUAGCAGCCGUGCACUGACUCCACAACUCCUGGUCUUCAGCUGAAACCCGAUCCCUUGAGGAAUGCGUUCAGUAAUGGCCUCUGUCUGUUAUCUCUCUCUCCCUCACUCUCUCUGCUCCCUCGCCCUCCCACCUCCCCUCUCCCUGUCUCCCUCCCCCUCUCCCUCCUCUUCUCCCCCUUUCCCACACGCAGUGAAUGUAGUGGCGAUUGUGAUCCUGUCUCGGGAAAGUGCGGCCUCUCUACCUGCACCACUCGCUACCUGGUUGCCAUGGCAGCGGCUGAUCUACUGACCAUUGUCACCGCGGUCAUUUUGUGGCGAAUCAAAUCCUAUUACUUCAGGUGGAGUUUUCUGGACAUCACCCCUGUGUGCAGUGUUAUCGAUGUACUGAGAUGCACAGCCACAAACUGUUCUGUCUGGUUCACCGUCGCUUUCACCUUUGACCGGUUUGUCGCCAUUUGCUGCCAGAAGCUGAAAACAAAAUAUUGCACCGGGAAAACUGCAGCUGUGGUUCUAACAACAAUCGGCGCACUAUUCUGUCUGAAAAAUGUUCCCCGAUACUUCACACGGCAACCCAGGGUGAUCAUCGACAAUGUACCGUGGUUCUGUAAAGUGAUGGACAGUUAUUUCACUGACCCCGGGUGGGGAGGGUAUGACUGGUUCGAUACGGUUUUAACUCCGUUCCUCCCUUUCGCUGGGAUCCUGCUGCUCAACGCUCUGACAGACACAUUUUAGUGGCCAGUCGGGUCCGAAAGGGGCUGAAGGGACAGUGCAAGGGGGGGAACCGCAGUGACCCGGAGAUGGAGAGCAGGAGGAGGUCUGUGAUUUUACUCUUCACCCUCUCCGGCAGCUUCAUCCUCCUGUGGAUGACACUGGUUGUAAAUUUCAUAUAUUAUCAGGUCUCAGGGAAAGGAUUCAGUUUCAAUGAUUCUGAAUGCAUCUUUAUCUACGUCGGGGUUUUGCUGAGUGAUUUCAGCUGCUGCACCAACACGUUUAUUUACGCGGUGACUCAGUCAAAAUUCAGGGAACAGAUAAUUAGGUCGGUGAAAUAUUCUGUCACCUCGGUGGUUCAUUACAUUAAUAAAGCUGCGUCCUGAGCACAAGCCGGACGCAGCCACAAUUUCUCCAGUCCGGAGGCCAACUCCUCACAUUCACCGCCUGAUCUCGCAGUUGUUAUUCCGGGGCCGACUGUCCCAUUGACCAGUAGGUCUGGGACAUUAGGAUAGUGUGUUUCUGGGGAGGGGCAAAGCACUGUCCUGGACUCGCCAGAUGUCAGUCAACGAACUACUCUGAAAUGCCAGCCAUCCAUUGGUCUGGGAAUAUGUCCAUCUACUCCUAUUCCCACCCACCAACCUCACAGACCGACUUUCCCACAAGACAGCUGGUGUUCUAGUCUGAUGCUGGUAGGAUAAUCAAAUGUCAAGCACACCAGUUUCCGCCUUCCGCUUGAAUGAUUGGCUAACGUGCAUAUAAAUAGGGCGGGUUUUGGAUACAUGGUGGUUGGUACUCCAAAUUAAUGCACGUUCCCGCCACUAACUGGACUGGAAUAUGGUGUAGAGGAUUGGGAAAUAAAACCCUUGCUGCUUCUUUGUUCUAAUGAAAACUGAAU